ACUCCUACGGGAGGCAGCAGUGGGGAAUAUUGCACAAUGGGCGCAAGCCUGAUGCAGCAACGCCGUGUGAGUGAAGAAGGUUUUCGGAUCGUAAAACUCUGUCCUAAGGGAAGAAACAAAUGACGGUACCUUAGGAGGAAGCCCCGGCUAACUACGUGCCAGCAGCCGCGGUAAUACGGAGGGUGCGAGCGUUAAUCGGAAUUACUGGGCGUAAAGCGCAUGCAGGCGGCCUGUUAAGUCAGAUGUGAAAGCCCGGGGCUUAACCUCGGAAUUGCAUUUGAAACUGGCAGGCUAGAGUCUUGUAGAGGGGGGUAGAAUUUCAGGUGUAGCGGUGAAAUGCGUAGAGAUCUGAAGGAAUACCAGUGGCGAAGGCGGCCCCCUGGACAAAGACUGACGCUCAGAUGCGAAAGCGUGGGGAGCAAACAGGAUUAGAUACCCUGGUAGCACAGAG
rnacentral:rRNA from 1 species